rnacentral:rRNA from 1 species
AGAGGCGUCGUCGGGUCUCGCGGAUGGCGGUUGAUCCCGCGUUUGCGAGGCGCCCGUGCGACUUCUCUGCACUUCUGCGGGGGGCCGGCCAACGUCAGUUGCCCCCGGCCCACAAGGGCGUCGCGGGUAGGUGCCUCCGUGCUCUGCUCGGAGGACUUAUAGCCCGGCGUCACUGGCGCUCCGGGGAGCGACUGAGGAGAGUCUUUGUUGCGAGUCUUUCGCACGUUGCGGCGCAGGCCUCUCGGGGCUGGGCCCCCGUCUGUCGGUGGGGAGCCGAGACGUUCACUGCGUGCAGUGGGCGCCGACGGUGCUUUCUCCUUCGGCAGGUGGGUCGGUCGCACCUUGCGUCGCAGUCGUUGGUGCCCGGAUGGCCGCAUCCGACCCGUCUUGAAACACGGACCAAGGAGUGCAACAUGCGUGCGAGUCCGCGGGUGGCAAACCCGUCGGCGCAAUGAAAGUGAAGGCAGGCGUUUGGCCUGCUGUGGCGAGAGCCUCCCCCCGGGGGGCGCAUCGUCGACCGAUCCCAGGCUACGCUGUGGCGGGAUUUGA